rnacentral:lncRNA from 1 species
AAAAAGCAAAAAAUGUAUUUAUUGGGAAUUGAUCCUUAUUUUUUUUGUGGAUAAAAUUGUAUAUGUAUAAAAUCAAGGAAGCUCAAUUUUAAGGCUUCGAUAGCAUUUCCAAGUCCGACCUUGAUGAGGUCGAAGCACAGCCCGAGGCUCGUCCUCGAAGCAUUCGCCUCGAUAGGACAUAUCGAAAACUCACCAUAAUACACCUCGAGGCAACAUGUGAGUCGAUGACCGUUAUGAAAAGGCGAAAUGCUCCCGAGGGCAUGAGAUGGGGACUUGCAAAGUUUGAAAGAAUUGUACAAAUCUAUAUUGAGCCGUUAUACAACUGUACUAAUAGUAUUUUCCUAUCAAGAUUACACAUGUACUAUAAAAAGAUCCUCCCUCCUAUAUAAAGAGGACUCUAGUCAUCUUGUAAAGGGGAUUCAGAUUAUUACACAACAUAUUGAAUACAAUAUUCUCUGCUUUUUGUUUA